CAAAGGGUAAAUUGUUUGACGCUUACAAUUAUAAGAGAACACAAUUAAGUGCAGCAGGACUAAUAAAUAGACAUGAAAACGUGAAAAAGAAAUCAAAUCAUACGCAAUUGUCGGAAGAUCACGAAACUGGUAUAACAGCAGAUGAAUUGAAAAUUCUUGAAACAACGAAUGUAGAUUGGAACAAAACAAGAGAACAUUGGAUUAAAUGUCAUUCCUAUCGACUAAAUGAAUUACAAAAUAACGAGUUGAGUACUAUUGACUAUAUACAAAAAUACAACAUUCUUCUUAAUGAGAACUUUCAUGAAUUGCUUCAAAUCGAUUUCAAAAUACUAUACGCAAACUCCAAAAGCAUUUACCAAUGGAAACUAUUCUAUGAAAAACUAAUAUCGAAAGCCGAACAAUCAAAAGGGAAUAGUGU